GGAUGUGGAAGGGGUUGAAUAUGGUGAUGAUACAAGAGUAUUGUGGACUAGAGUUUCAGAUCUGGGAUUCUUCUCCCAGAAGUUGAAGAUUAACCCUUGGCUGUCUGAGUAUUAAUUCCCCUUUCACC